GACGAACGCUGGCGGAGGGACGAACACAUGUAAGUCGAACGGAAAGGCACUGCUUGCUGGGUAAUUGAGUGGAGAAGGGGUGAGUAAUAAGUGGGUGAUUUGUUUUGUACUUUGGGAUACGCCUGGGAAAAUGGGUCUAAUACCGGAUAGGAGCCAUUUUUAGUGUGAUGGUUGGAAAGUUUUUUCGGUGUAGGAUGAGCUCGCGGCCUAUCAGCUUGUUGGUGGGGUAAUGGCCUACCAAGGCGGCGACGGGUAGCCGGCCUGAGAGGGUGGACGGCCACAUUGGGACUGAGAUACGGCCCAGACUCCUACGGGAGGCAGCAGUGGGGAAUAUUGCACAAUGGGCGCAAGCCUGAUGCAGCGACGCCGCGUGGGGGAUGACGGCCUUCGUAUUGUAAACUCCUUUCGCUAGGGACGAAGCUUUUGUGACGGUACCUAGAUAAGAAGCACCGGCUCCCUACGUC
rnacentral:rRNA from 1 species